CAUGCAGGCGGCUUGUUAAGCCAGAUGUGAAAGCCCGGGGCUCAACCUCGGAAUAGCAUUUGGAACUGGCAGGCUAGAGUCUUGUAGAGGGGGUAGAAUUUCAGGUGUAGCGGUGAAAUGCGUAGAGAUCUGAAGGAAUACCGGUGGCGAAGGCGGCCCCUGGACAAAGACUGACGCUCAGAUGCGAAAGCGUGGGGAGCAAACA
rnacentral:rRNA from 1 species